AAAAAAAAGGAGGAGAAAAUAGUGGCAGAGAGAAGGUAGGUCAUGGAGAGAAUGAAUGAGGAACUAGUUAGGACCCGCUCGAUGCGGCGGAAAAAAAAUAUGAUAGUAAAUUAUUAUAACUAUUAAAAUCAUUUUUUUCUUUUAUGUAUUAAUAUUUUUAAAUAUUAUUUAUCUCAGUAUUGAAUAAUUAAAAAGUAAAGAAUAAAUUAAAGAAUGAAAUUAAAAUAUAUUUUUUUAAAAAAUAUUUAAAUCUAAUAAGUAAAAUGAAUAAAUCAGUUUAAAACAAAAUAAAAGAUCAUUACAGUAUUAAGAAAAAUAAAUAAUAUUUUUCUAUUAUCAUCAAGGUAGAAUUAAAAAAAAUAAAAAAAUUAAGUAGAGUGAAAGUACUAUCUUUAGUAUUCUUGGCGGCAACGUUUUAAUUGUGCCAUCAUUAACUUUUAUCGUUGCACAUACAACUAAAAAAAGUAUUUGAUUUUUAAAUUUUAAAUUAGUGAAGAAAUUAGUAGAUAAUUAUCAGAAGCGCAAAAAAUAAGACUAAUGAAAAGACAUUUGAAAUCAAAAUGGAUAUUUUUUACAUUGUAAAAAAAUUUAACUAUCAAAUAUUAUAUUAUUUUAUAAAUUAAUUCAUAAAAAAAUUAUUCGUGAACUAAAGUGAAAAACAUGUAAAGUUUAGGGAAUAGGGGCCAAAAUAAAAACAGAGCGAAAAGAUUGGGGCCCAAUAUGUAAUUAAUCUUUUAAAAAAUUGAUGUAAGCCCCACAACCCCCAAAAUAAAGGGAGGUCUUUUUUUGAAUUCCAAAUUAGUAUAUUUAUUUAUAAAUAUAAAUUAUAAAUAAAUAAAUAUUUAUAAAGUGUGUGAGAGAGAAAGUGAGAGAGAAAAAAAAAAA
rnacentral:lncRNA from 1 species